ACUGCUGCGUUUCGGUGAACGAGACUAUCGGAGAGCCACUUUCGGUUAUAAGCGUGGUGGCAUCGCUUCUGUUUGCCGCUCAAUGCAUUCCUGUUACGUACUGUCCAGAAAAGGCCUUCAAAGCCCUUUUGCCAAUGCGCUCGCAAAAGGAACAUGGCUGAUUCUUGUCACGAAGAGGCCUCAUGUAGGGUUAGAGCAGAACCUUUAUGGCUUUUAAUAGCCUUAAAUCUUCCUGUUCGCUCCUCAAACGCCUUUCUGGAGGGGCAGUUGGAUUCAUUUUUACUACAAACAGGCGUACUUUCCCAGAGCUUAUUUUAAACCGACUCUGAUAUCCCCGUCCACCAAAAUCAUUUGCCUCAGGCUGUGCUCGUGUAGAAAAAUUAGGCCUUAAUAACUAUCAUUGAAACGCAUAGCCUUCUGCAGGGCAUUCAGAGCACCGGGUAGCCUCACCCAGGGAGGUGUUAAAACCAGGUCUGACCGAAAUAGAUGGGAUUACUUCUCUUUGUACUCACUGAUAACUACAGAUAAAGCAGAUGAAAGCAUAAGUAGUAAAUAAGCAUCCUUCUAUAAACAUUUGGAGGGGAGGUGGGCUCAAGGGACCUCAUUACCACCUUGAGAAGAGAGAAAUACCUGUUAAGGGUAAUUGCUGCCUGUUAAAGUUUAUUCUCACUCCAGGCUGGUUACACCUUCUCUUUCAGCAGUUUGCUCAAGGCAACUCGACUGACCUGCAACCUCCCUCUUACAGAAUGCCACUGCCCAAACCUGCCGCUAACGUUCUUCGUGGUGAGCACAGUCCUUUCUGCUGCAACAGCUGCUCAACGUUUCACCGGAUCGAUCACCUUUCUGUUGAGCUGCUGCCAUUUUAUUUCCCUCUUCUGUCCCGUGCCCUGGCUGACCAGCACAGAUCUGGGUACAGACCAUCAACCUGUUAGGAGCUGUGGUUGCUUCGUCAUGCUGUUGCUUGCAGAACGCUUCUUUGGCAUUCCAGGAGAGAUGGGAAUGAGAAGGUUAUUUUGAGGGAAGCUUCUCCAUAGAAUCCAAGCCAGUGGAGCAGGCAUAUGUUUAAAAAGAUCUGUUUGGAGACUUAAGUUAGUUCACUUCAGAACUAAACUUCAAGAGCCAUGGAGGCCAGCGGGAGGUUUUCCAUUGACUUCAGUGAACUGUGGAUCAGGUCUGAGGAGAUAAAUCCAGCUCUUUCAGAAGCCGGCUCUAUUCUCUUCAUAGAAUGAAGCUGUGAAAGGACCAUAGGAAGAGACAAAACUGGAAAAUUAUAUAUAAUGUCUUGUCCACUAUGUGUUUCUGAAGAUGCCAGACCUUCACAAACCCAUGUGUGCUUCUGCUCGAGUAACUGUACCAACACUGACUUUUUUUUGAACAACAUUACGUAUAGAAUUGUGCACACUGGAGGUGGAAAUUAGAUCAGAGGUAAUGGCAACACUCAGAAGGCUGUCCUCGUCUUAGAAGCCUGCAGGUUGGUACUCCAUCAAGCUACAAACCUUUGGCUGAAAGUAAGAGUGUCUGAGGCAAGCAGCUGUUGGUUCAGAGGUUCUUAAAACUAGACGGGGUGCAACCACAGGAGAGAAAUGCUCACGUAAUUAACAUGUGUUCUAUUUGCAUCUUUGAGGAUUAUAGAAACCAACCUGUCUGAUACAUCAUGGCAUCCUAACCUUUCUUCCAGGGCUUGGUCUUAGCUCGAGUGGGUGGGGUCACUAACAGACUCAUCAUCCCUCACUUUACUGCCCUGGAAACACAUCUGCAUGACUCUUAUACCUACAGAAUAUUUAGAAGAUCUGUUGUUAGCAUUCAAAGCUGCUUAAAAUGCACAGCAUAAGAAGUAAAAACUGGAGUAAGUCUAUAUCCAGACUACUUUGUAGCUGAGAGGCGAGCAUAUUCAAAACAGGUGGUUAUACAGGCAGAUAGCUGUUCUGUUUCUCAGUAUGGUGGCAGUACUUCCCUUGCAACCUGGAGGUGUCUGCCAUUAAAUCUCCUUGUGUUGGGUUUGUGUAUGUGCACAGGUCACUACAAGACAAGCUAGAGUAGAUUUGUGGUAUGUCAGCCAGCUAAUGCACAGUAGCAGCCUAUGGAUGGAGUUGAACCUGGCAGUAUGCAGAAAACAUCUAUUCCUCAAAGAAAACAGGGUCACAGUAUGCACACAGGUAGUUUCCAUGGAGCAGCGAACCUGCUGUAAAUCCCCACCCAGUCUUGCCUCAUUGCAACACGAAUGUGUAGUCAUACCCAAAGCAAAGGUGAACAAAUAGACCGAUGAGACAGAAAUAUCUAAACCUACAACACCACUUAGCAAAGCACCGUGAGCCGCAGAGAGCAGUGGUAAAGAAGUUAGGUGUGCCAUAGCUCACACAGUACGGUGGAACUGAAAUAAAUGGCUUUCGUGUUGAAACACCUUUCCUUUCCUAGCUUACCCUGUGUGUAUGGAUUUAUUUAUUUAUUUCUGUUUCAGUUAGCACGAGCUGCUACCAAAGUCCAUCUGUUUUCCUUUGCACUUUAAUUUACAGCCCUUGUUAGUCAUUUUAUUGCUUCGAAUUCUGAGGGAGAAAACUUUUACAACUUGUGAUUACUGAACUCGUGGAAACCAGAGCUUUUUGACCUGGCACAGGGGGGUAAUUAUAGAGCCCGUUGCUCCUUGGGAGGGGCAUUCAAUGUUUAACAAACUGUGGCAAGUCUCAUUUAACCCCUUGGAGCCUGGACCAUUGGAUGGCAGUGAAAAAACAAACGUUGAGGCUCUCGGUCUCGCAAUGUGAUUCACCUGUUUUUUUUUAUCUUUAAGUUUUGCCUUUCUGCUACUGAACUCAGGGCUGUUUCUUUCAUCAGCAUUGGGAGGAUAGGAGCCAAAAUACUUGCAUAUGAAAACAUUUCUUUCCUUACUUUGGAAAUUACUGCUGCGUUAUUGUUGAUUAAUCCUUUCAUAGUCUUCUGAGUGCCCUGCUGUCAAAAUAAAGUCUCUUGAC
rnacentral:lncRNA from 7 species